UCCCCUUCUUUGCUGGGGGGAAGGUUCCAGAACGGAGUGGCGCACGUACGGGGCGCAUGACGUGGCGCGGCUACCAGGCUGCAGCCCUGAGAAUGGAACCGCCUCUGUGCUCCAUGGCAAGCCGCCCUGCCCCGAGGAUCUCCUCCGCAAUGGGGCUUGUAUGUUCCGCUGGGGGAACCCCUGCUCCCCUCCCGGCGGGCGAGCCGGCCAAGAGGGGCUGCGCCAGGAGCUUGCCUGCGGGCGGCCAGCCCCUGCGUGUCGGCAGACGGGAGAGCGCCGAGCGGCGCGUCCCUGGGCUGGUCCGGCUCGGGACUCCCGCGGCACUGCGCUCCCCUGCAGAACGCCGAGCGGUCCCCGAGGAUUUAUCCCUGGGCCUCGCCUUGCCGCCCCGCAGGCAGGCGUGCGCGUUGCAGAGACUGCGGAGCCAUGGAGCAGGCGCUGGGGGGCCGCCGGAGUGGGUACGGGUGCAGUGGACACCGCCUAGGGUGGGGCUGUACAGCAGUUAGGCGCCUGCGGCUGGCCUGUGCCAGCGGGCUGGGGCUAAGGGGCUCUUUAAUUGUGGUGUGGAUGCUCGGGGGUCUAUACCCAAAAUUGAACAGCGCUUUAGCCUGGCGAUCACUAGUUCAAGUCAGCGAGCACAGGAGUUUGUCCCGUCUCCUGGGUCAGACCUAUGAUUUAUUCAGGCUGGGAUCUUGUUCCUUUUGAAACUUUCAGGGGGCUUGUUUUUCUGUUUGUUUUAGUCAUUCUUGCGGGAGGGUGAAUUAUAUACAGUAGAACCUCAGUGUUAUAAACUGACUAAUCACACACCUCAUUUAGAACACGAAGUCUGCUGUCAGGCAGCAGCAGAGCGCCCCCCGCCCCCCCCGGGAUACAGUACCUUACUGUGUUAAACAUACUAAAAAAAUACAGGGAAAGUUCAAAAUUUGACAAGGUUCUUACACUGAGUUCUUCACCAUAGCAUCUGAGCACCCUGUGACAAGACAUCUUGAAGGCAUCUGUGCUCCAACCUCUGGCAUCUCAUUGACUACAUUAUCCUCAGGAGAAGAGACAGACAGGAUGUUUGAGUGACAAAGGCCAUGAGAAGUGCAGAAUGCUGGGCUGAUCACAGGGUUAUAGUCUCCAAGCUGAAUAUCCAGCUACAUCCUAGUAGGCAACCACAAGGUAAAAAGGCAUCCAAAAAUCUUAAUGUCUCCUCCAAACUGAAACAGGAGAAUGUGAAACAGGCUUUCCUUGAACUGCGCAGCCAACUUGUUACAAUUGAUGCAAACUCUAAUAACAACGAAAAUUGGGCAUCCUUUAGAGAUUCUGUGUACUUGGCUGCAUCCAAUACCUUUGAUUCCAUCACAUGUAAACAUCAAGCUUGGCUUGAUAAAAAUGAUACUGACGUAGUGAGACUGUUGAAUGAGAAACAUUUGGCUCCGUAAGGCCUAUUUAGGAGAUACAGUUCAACAUCUAAGAAAGUAGCCUAACAACAUCAAGAGGACUGUCCAACGUAAACUUAGAGAGAUCUAAAACUCAUUCUGAGCAACAAGGCAGAUGAGAUUCAAUCCUACACAGACAGGAAUGACAUGAAAUACUUCUGUGGUGCUCUGAGGACAAUCUAUAGGCCAUGGUCAUCGGGAACAUCUCCAAUACUGAAAGCUGAUGGCACCACACUACUCACUGGUAAAGAAAAGAUACUGCAAAGGUGGGCAGAACACUUUAAACACAUCCUCAAUAAAGAAUAAUCUGUUAGUGAGGAGGCAAUUGAUUGACUGCCCCAGAUCAGUAUCAACAUCUCUUGCUCAUCUCCCAAUGCCGAUUGAAACUGUGAAAGUGAUUGAGCAGAUGCUGUACCAGCAGAAGUCUAAAAGGCCAGAGGCUUACACGUGACUCUGAAAUUGACUGAUUUUUUCCAAUCAAUGUAACACAAAGAACUUUAUCCCAGGAGUACAAGGAUGCAUCCAUCAUCCACUUGUAGGAUUGUCAGUUGUCUUUCUGUUUAUACAACUACUAUUGGGGCAUCUCACUGUAAGUAGCCAGCAAAAUUCUCAUCAGAAUUCUGCUGAAUUGCCUUGUGCAAUGCAUUGAACAAGCGCUCCUGCCUGAAAGUCAGCAUGGCUUCAGGAAAGGAUGCAGGACUAUAGAUACGGUAUUUUUAGCUUGUCAACUUCAGGAGAGAUGCCAGGAACAGAACUCCAACCUGUAUGACUUUCAUUGACCUGACAAAAGCAUUUGAUACAGUCAGUUGGGAGGGCCUUGGGAAGAUCAUGGCAAAACUUGAUUGCCCAGAGAAAUUCAUUGCAAUGGUUCAGCAAUUCCAUGAUGGCAUUCUCUCUCGCAUUGUGGACGACGGUGAGUCAUCUGAACCAUUCCCAGUCAUCAGUGCAGUCAAGUAGGGCUGCAUGUUGGCCUCAGCUGUUUUCAGUAUGAUGCUUUCUACCAUGCUUACAGAUGGCUUUCAUGACUGUGACACUAGGAUUGGCAUCAGAUACCAGACUAAUGGCAAGCUAUUCACUUUGAGGAGACUAGAGGCAAAGACAAAUGUAGAGGAAGUGACUGUUCGUGAUCUUCUGUUUGCUGAUGACUGUUUCCUGAAUGCCAAAUCUGAGUCCGACCUGCAGUGGAGUAUGGACGAUUUCUCUUCAGCUUGUGACAACUUUGGUCUCACAAUUAUCAGGAAGCCAGAAGUGAUGUAUUGGCCUGUACCAGGAAAGCCUUAUGUAGAGCCUACUAUCAAGGUGACUGGCCAAACCCUUCAGACAGUGGACAAGUUCACCUAUCUCAGCAGUACACUAUCAUGUGCAGUUCACAACGAUGAAACCAAUGCCAGAAUUGCCAGAGCAAGUGUGACCUUUGGCAGACUAUGUGCAAUUGUGUGGGAGCGUAGAGGCAAUAGUCAACAAACAAAUCUGAAAGUCUACAAAGACCUUGCAUUGCCAACUCUGAUGUAAAACCUGGAUGGUGUACAGAUGCCAGUCUGUGAAGCUGAAUCACUUUCACAUGGUCUGUUUGAAGAAACUGAGGAUAAGACAGCGAGACAAAGCUCUAGAUACGGAGGUUCUCCUGCGGACAGGCAUUCCAAGUAUCCAUACUCUGAUGAAAUCACAGAUGAGAUGGUGAGAUCAUGUCACCAGAAUGUCAGAUAAGUGACUGCCAAAGAUCUUUUACAGCAAGCUAAAGGAGGGAAAUCGCUUUCAGGGAGGCAAAAAGAAACAUUUCAGGGACUCCCUCAGGCUAUCCUUGGAGCAUUUCAACAUUGACCCAGAGCUUUGGGAAGAUCUCGCUCAUGAUUGUUCUACCUGACAAAGCCUCAUCUGUACUGGAGCUAGUCUGUGAGUGGAGGAGACCAGCUGAGGCAGAGCAGAAGCGCAAGCAGUAUAAAUCUCACAGCAGCAGCAUGUCACUAUUAAUCAAGUGACCCGUAGCGGCAUCUCUUGUUAGUUCAAAGCUCAAAUUGGCCUGAUCAGCCACUCGCAUGUUCACAGAAACCAAACCAACCAGUGAUGUCAUGGUCAUAGUCAAACUCGAAGGACAAACAGUCUGAGCACCUUUCAGUAGUGCAUUAAUCAGUAGUUCUCAAACUUUUAUUAAGGGGGUCUACCCACUUCUUUUUUUUUUCUUUGCAACACACCUAGGGUCCAAAUUCAUGGAAUUCCUGAGAAGGGUGGCUGGGCCAAAUUUGAGUGAUCGCCGUUGUACCCUGGCAUAUGGGGCUGCAGGGCCACUCAGGUUUGGCCCAGUUGCCCUCUGAUGCUGCCAACGUGUGCCAAGUCACAAUACACAGUGGCAUAUUGGCCAAUGGAGUUCAUGCCCAGGGGCCCCAGAGAAAUGGGUUCCCCAACAGACAUCCAUUGCGGGGAACGAAAGCCUGAAGCCCUGGCAGAAGAGCUGGGUAACCCUGGCUGCAGCCCUGGGACUGGAGGAGUUCUUUCUCCCUGCCACAGCCUCAGGGCUGUGGGAGCUCUCAGUCCCAGCUGUGGUGCUGGGGCAUGGUGUGUGUGUUGGGGGGGGGACAGAGCUUCUCUGGUCUUGGGGCUGUAGGGGUGGGGAGAAAGGAGCAAACCGGUUGCAGUGCUGCAGUGGGUAGGGUGGGGUGGAAUGGAGUGGGACUGUGGAUGGAACGGGUGGGGCUGUAGGGGAAGGGGUGGAAAAGGGUGAGGCUACGGGUGGGGCCAUAGGUGAAAGGGGUGGAACGUGGGUGGAAUCGCAGGCGGAAGGGGUGGAGAGGCCCCCCCACUUGCUCUAGCCCAUGCCCCCCUGAAACCUUAAUCCAUCUCUGGCAACGCUUGGAGCAGGAAGCUGGCCUGGCCCCAUAUGCCAGGAGCCACUGCUGUAGCAUGAGUGCAGGGCAGGCUUGCUCUCCUGCCAACCCAUUCCCCACACUAGUCCCAGAGCCCACCAUUUAGGAAACACUGUGUUAAGUGACCUGAUUAACAUCAGUUAUGUGGUUUGUUCUUUCAUCCUCUGCCCAGGGUGUGCAGUGGAGUGUUGUUUCAUUAGGGUUGUUUUUUUAAAAUAAAUGUUGCAACAUGUUUGUUAGAGAAGGCAGGUCAAAGACAUGCUUUGCAUGUCAAGCAGAAGGUGAUGAGGUCUGUGAUGGUCCUUACUUUCUGUGGGAGUUCAUUACAGUCUUGGCCUGGCCUCUGUCAAAGCUGCCUCCUGCACAGACAAGCUUCACCCUUAUUGUAGAGAGUUCCAUUGUGUCAGAGGAGUGGAGUUGUUGGCCAUGGUUUUCAUCUCAGAACUUUAGGAGCAUCUUUUAGAUAUGCUGGCCCUAGGCCACUGAGCACCUUAAAGAUAAGCACCAACACCUUGUACUUGACUUGAUAGGCCUCCCUACAGCCCUGUGAAGUAGAUGAAGAUUCUGAUCCCAUUCUAACGGGACACCAAGGUACAGAGAGGGGAAAUGACUGUCUAAGGUCAUAUAAUAACCCUGUGGCAGAGCUGGGAAUAGAACUUAGUAAGUCUGACUCCUAGUUCCUCAUUCUAAUGUUUAGGACCUGCUCCCUGAGAUCAAUGUGCUGUCAUGUGCGUAAAAGCAGUUUCAGAGUAAAUUGAGGGGGAUAAACAGUGCAUUAGUAAAAUAUGUAGGUUGUGGUAACUAAGGGCUUUCAGAUAUUUGUGCACUAUGGUGUACCCUGACUUUGAAAACAAGUGCUGUGGACACUCCAAACACUAGCCUCUCUAGGCUCAAGCCCUAGUUGGGUUUCCAACAUACACACAUCUUUUAAUUGAGGAAUCUUUAUCUUUUUAAGCAGGCACUUAUCUCCUUGAUAUACAAGUGCUGUUUCUUUAGCUACUUCCUAAUAAUCUUUACUAGAACUGGCAGGGAGAAAAGUGUAGAAAUACCCUAGGUACAAGUCUUAGUGGUUUAGUUAGAAAAAGCCCAGGCCCCUAGGAGAGCAGUCUAGCAAGAAGGCACAAAGGUAUCUUUGCUUUCCAGAGUUCAUCAGACACCCAGUAUGCCCCCUGAGUCUAAACCUCUUGGGCAAGAAGGCAAUUUUAGUCUCUCAGACUCACAAGGCUGGGCUUCCUGCCACCUCUUAAAGGUUGCUAACUCUUACGAUUUUAUCACAAGUCUUAUGAUAUUUGGUAUUUUUCUUAAAGCUCCAUUUCCUGGA